rnacentral:lncRNA from 1 species
GGAAUGAAGUGGUCAGUGAAGGAGAGAGGAGUUAUCUGGUGACUGGGAAGAUGGAAAUUAAACAUUGAGAACUCAGGUAUUCUGACAAGUUUUUUGAGUGAGCAUCAUCUGGACAACUAGGUCUUCAUCAUGGGAAGAUCUAGAUUAUCAGAGAGCCUUGAUCAUUGAAGAAACAACAAAUGAUAAGUGUGGCUGUUAUGCAAAGAGAGAAGCAGGAAGGACCAGGUGUGUUCAGGGAGGCCAGCAUGGGUGUGACCUCAACAGGCUGUAGAUCAUGGGAUUUAAUAAAGGAACUAUGACAGUGUAAAAUAGAGACUCCAUCAUAUCUUGGUCAUCAGCCCGUUGGGAUGCAGAGCCCACAUACAUGAAGGCGAGGGGCCCAUAGUAUAAAGAUACAGAACUAAUCAAGCUCCAGAUGGUGCUGCA